rnacentral:rRNA from 1 species
UACGGGGGGGGGCAAGCGUUGUUCGGAAUUACUGGGCGUAAAGGGCUCGUAGGCGGCCAACUAAGUCAGACGUGAAAUCCCUCGGCUUAACCGGGGAACUGCGUCUGAUACUGGAUGGCUUGAGGUUGGGAGAGGGAUGCGGAAUUCCAGGUGUAGCGGUGAAAUGCGUAGAUAUCUGGAGGAAUACCGGUGGCGAAGGCGGCAUCCUGGACCGACAUUGACGCUGAGGAGCGGAAAGGCUAGGGGAGCAAACGGG